rnacentral:lncRNA from 1 species
UUAAAAGUAACAUGAAAACAAUGUCUGCUCUAGCUCGGUGACACUCAAUUGAAAGAACUGACAAACAAAGGUAACAAAUAACUUUGAUACUCACGUAAUAACGUUCUCCUUGCAAAAUUUCACCAACAAGCCACCAUACACACACAGCAUCACAAAACAGACGAAAUCCCCAAGGUGAUAAUGGACGCCAGUCCAACUUCUAUACUGAGGAAGUGAGGAGAAGGCACUCAAGGCGUAUCCGAUCAUGUUCCUUGUCUGCAAGUGAUUCCCGACGUUUCAGCACCUAGGCAACAGUGCUUGGACAGUGGAUUGCUGAAAGGAAAAACACCCAGUUGGCUACAUACUACAAGGCAACAGCAAAUGUAAAGUCAAUCAUAUAAACGAUGGUGAAGAUGAAAAAUCCUUUCCACACUACCUGGCCUCACAACAACAGCAUGUUCCGGGCUCAUGUGAUCCUCACACUAGGGACUGGGCAUCUAAUUGUUUUGAUAAUCACCUGUAUCACCCUUUUAGCUUUAUUCCCGUCAUUCUGCACGUUACCUUACAUGUGAUAAAUCUUUCUUUUCUUUCUGUAGGUUUUGAUGGCCAUUGAUAAUUGGAGAGCAGCAUUGGAAUGUGACAGCUUGUCUGGGAUAAAAGCACUACUAAUUUAAUUAGUUCAAAUAACACAAAAUUUAACUAAUGAUGCUUAUUGCAUUCUUGGCUCAAUGUUUUCAGAAAAUUUCAGCUGAAGUUUACCUAGGUGCAAACAGAGAAAACAGAGAUCAAACAGGACAAUCCAGUGCAAGCUGUGUCUUCUCAAGCCAAAUAGUUUCUAUGUGCAAGGUUAACUUUUUGCAUUCAAGUUGUUGUAAAUCUUCAAAAUAUUGUUGCCUUUCCCAGAUCAAAUUCUAUGUUGCUAUUUAUUUUGAGGACAAUUGACAGACAAUGCUUCUAAGUUCUACUUAAGUGGUUGCUGUGACUACAUUUUGCUGAGUUCUCAUUU